AGUUAUAUGCUUGUCUCAAAGAUUAAGCCAUGCAUGUGUGUGCAUAAGCUUUCGCACAGUGAACCCGCGAAUGGCUCAAUAACUCAGUUGCUGACAAUGUAUGCAUCAUUUACUAUAUGGAUAUCAGCGGUAAUUCUGGAGCUAAUACGCGGUCAGUGACCUGCAGUAACGUAUGGUUGUCGUUAUCAGUGAUGUACCUACAUCGGACCUCUCCGAAAUUGACUUAGCGAUGAUAAUCAAAUUGAUCGUGCCGCACUUUGCAUGCGAUCCAUUACUUGUGCUUCUGACCUAUCAGCUUCUGACGGUAGGGUAUUUGCUUACAGCUGCAUUGACGGGUGACGGAGGAUUAGGGUUCGAUUCCGGAGAGGGAGCACAAGAUACGGCUACCACAUCUAAGGAAUGCAGCAGGCACGUAAAUUACCCAAUCCUAGUUCAGGGAGGUAGUGACAAUAAAUAACAAUACGGGGCAAUGCUGUCUUGUAGUUGGAAUGAAACAAAUACAACACAUUUGCCAAUGAUCGAUUGGAGGGCAAGUCUGGUGCCAGCAGCCGCGGUAAUUCCAGCUCCAAUAGCGUAUGUUAAAGUUGUUGUGGUUAAACUGCUCGUAGUUGUGACUCUGUUCGGUUCGGUCGGUCCGCCCACGGGGUGUGCAUUUAUCGGUCCGUUCAUUUGUUCGGACACUGCUAUUCAUUCCCAUGUGUAGCAUACGUGUCCAGGCCGUUUACUUUGAGGAAAUUUAAGUGUUUCGAACAUGUGCAUGCAUUGAAUGCGAUAGCAUGGAAUAGCAAUAUUUGAUCGCUGCAAUGCGUUGUUGGUAUUUGAGCUGCGGUAAUGACCGAUAGGGAUAAUUGGUGGCAUUUGUAUUCAGCAGUCAGAGGUGAAAUUCUUGGAUUUGUUGAAGAUGAGCUACUGCGAAAGCAUUUGCCGAACGUGUUUUCAUUGAUCAAGAACUAAAGUUAGGGGAUCGAAGACGAUCAGAUACCGUCCUAGUCUUAACAAUAAACGAUGCCGGCUAGGAAUUGGUUUCUUUUAAUUAUACAAUGUUUUCAGCGCUUUCUGAAAAAUCAAAGUGUUCGGGCUCCGGGGGGAGUAUGGUCGCAAGGCUGAAACUUAAAGGAAUUGACGGAAGGGCACCACCAGGAGUGGAGCCUGCGGCUUAAUUUGACUCAACGCGGGGAAACUUACCAGGUCCUGACAUAUUGAGGAUUGACGGAAUUAUUGCUUUUUCUUGAUUAUAUGGGUGGUGGUGCAUGGCCGUUCUUAGUUGGUGGAGUGAUUUGUCUGGUUAAUUUCGUUAACGAACGAGACCUUGGCCUGCUAAACAAUAAAGCGUAGUCUCCACUAUUCUACAAAUUCCUUAGAGGGACGUUGUGCGCUUAGUGCAAUGAAGUUUUAGUCAAUAACAGGUCUGUGAUGCCCUUCGAUGUUCUGGGCUGCACGCGCGCUACACUGAUGCGUUCAGAAAGUUCUCGAUUGCAUUUGGAAAAAUAUGAAAUCGACGGACCCUGCAUCGUGAUGGGAAUCAGCUGUUGCAAUUGUUAGCUUUCAACGAGGAAUUCCUAGUACAUGCGUAUAAACAAUUCGCAUCGAUUACGUCCCUGCCCUUUGUACACACCGCCCGUCGCUCCUACCGAUCGAAUGGUCCGGCGAAUGAUUCAGACUGCGGUGCUAUUAAAAUACAAAUUCGCCCCUCAGAAAGUUUUGUGAACCUUAUCACUUAGAGGAAGGAGAAGUCGUAACAAGGUUUCC
rnacentral:rRNA from 1 species